UCUGCCCUGAAGAGGGGGAUAACGUUCCGAAAGGAGCGCUAAUACCGCAUAAAGCCGAGAUGGGUUCGCCUGUUUCGGACAAAGGCUGGGAUCGCAAGACCAGUCGCUUUGGGAGGAGUCUGCGGCCCAUCAGCUAGUUGGUAAGGUAAUGGCUUACCAAGGCAAGACGGUAGCUGGUCUGAGAGGAUGAUCAGCCACACUGGUACUGGAACACGGACCAGACUCCUACGGGAGGCAGCAGUGGGGAAUCUUGGUCAAUGGGCGCAAGCCUGAACCAGCGACGCCGCGUGAGUGAUGAAGGCCUUCGGGUUGUAAAGCUCUGUGGGGAGGGACGAAAGACUGAGGUCUAAUAGGCUUCAGGUUGACGGUACCUCCUUAGCAAGCACCGGCUAACUCUGUGCCAGCAGCCGCGGUAA
rnacentral:rRNA from 1 species